rnacentral:rRNA from 1 species
AUUGAACGCUGGCGGCAUGCCUUACACAUGCAAGUCGAACGGCAGCACGGGGGCAACCCUGGUGGCGAGUGGCGAACGGGUGAGUAAUGCAUCGGAACGUGCCCCGUAGCGGGGGAUAACCAGUCGAAAGACUGGCUAAUACCGCAUACGCUCCACGGAGGAAAGCAGGGGAUCGCAAGACCUUGCACUAUGGGAGCGGCCGAUGCCCGAUUAGCUAGUUGGUGAGGUAAAGGCUCACCAAGGCGACGACGGGUAGCCGGCCUGAGAGGGCGACCGGCCACACUGGGACUGAGACACGGCCCAGACUCCUACGGGAGGCAGCAGUGGGGAAUCUUGCGCAAUGGGCGAAAGCCUGACGCAGCGACGCCGCGUGA